rnacentral:tRNA from 1 species
UGGAGUGUAGCUCAGUGGUAGAGCAUGUGCUUUGCAUGUGCAAGGCCAUGGGUUCGAUUCCUAGCACCAA